AUGGCGCACAGGGUCCUGGAGCUGACGCUCGUCUCGGCGAGCAACCUGAAGGACGUCAACGUGUUCAGCCGCAUGGAGGUGUACGCCAUCACGUCCGUGUUCGGCGACCCUCGCACGCGGCGGUGCAGCCAGACCGACCGCGACGGCGCCAGGCACCCGACGUGGGACGAUACGUUCACGUUCACCGUCCCGCCCACGCCCGCCAAGGCCGCCGCCGCGGGAGCCUACCUCCACGUGCUCCUCCGCACCGAGCGCCUCUUCGGCCUCGAGGACCGCGACGUCGGCGAGGUGUUCAUCCCUGUCGCCGACCUGCUGGCCUGCGCCUGCGUGGGCGGCCCGCCGCGGCGUGAGUCGUACCCGGUCCGGAAGGUGCACUGCACCGAGCAUCGGGGCAUGCUCACCGUAGCGUACCACUUCGGCCCCGUGAUGGUGCCGCUGGCCCAGGACGAAGGGUUGUGCUGGGACGAGGCCGCGGUGGUGGGGUACGAGCUGCCGCCGUGGCAGUACUGUCCUCCGACGUACGUCUACGCGCCGGAGGCGGCGGUGCCGCGCUACCCUCAGGCGUGUGCUCGCAUGCCGCCGGCGCCCAAGCCAGCUGCCGGCUGUGGCACGGCCGCCGCGUCGCCAGCGCAGAAGAAUUAUUGCGUAAGGAACGGCAGCUUCGCGCUGGGGCUCGGCGCGGGGCUGCUCGGCGGAGGCUUCGGGGGGAUGGUGUUCGGCGACAUGCCGCCGUCGGACAAGGCGGCUCACAACUCCGGGUACAAGCCCACGGCCGCCGACGGCGCAGGAGUUGCCUUCUGA
rnacentral:rRNA from 1 species